rnacentral:lncRNA from 12 species
AUGAUGGACAUGUACUCUAGUGCCCUGCCCCAUGACACCCUGCCAAGAAGCACCUUCCAGGAGUUCAGUCUAGUGAACAGCAUCAUCAAACUGAGUAACCAGAGCAUCGCCACGCUGUACCACAGCAGGCAAGCAGAAGGCAGUUCGGCUGCAGGAACAGAGCAAGGCCUAAAUCAAAGGAACCUGUUUCUUCAAGCUUCUGGCAGUGAUUCUGACAGUGAGGUUGACAAGUUAAAGAAGGAAAAGCAAGUUACUCCAGAAAAACCUGUGAAGAAGCAAAAGACGGAUGAAACUUCGAGAGCCCUGGCAUCCUCUGAGCAGACCAGCAGCAGCAGACAUGAAAAGAUUUCAGAUAGGGGAAAAUGAGGUACAUCAGUGUUCGGGACUUUAGAAGGAAAGUCCUAAGUGAUAUUAGACAAUAUUGGAUGGAUCCAGAAGGUGAAAUGAAAUCUGGAAAAAAAGGCAUUUAAAAAAAAAUACUGAGCCAGGUGAAAGAGCAGAUUUCUGACAUUGAUGAUGCAGUAGGAAAAACUGAAAUCAGAGCCGUAAAAACCUGUACUGUUCUAGCUGUUUUAGUCUGUCUUUUUACAUUGGCUUUUGUUUUCUUUUUCUUUCUUUCUUUCCUUUUUUUUUUUUUUAAGAUUUUAUUUAUUUGAGAUAGAGCACAAGCAUGAGCGGGGGUGGGGGAUAAGGCAGAGGGAAAGGGAGAAGCAAGCUCCCCACUGAGCAGGGGGCCUGAUGCAGGACUUGAUCCCAGGACCCCGGGAUCAUGACCUGAGCUGACGGCAGACACUCAACCAACUGAGCCACCCGGGCGCCCCCCGGCUUUUGUUUUCUAAAUGUUGUUUUCCAAGCUAUUGUAUUUGGGUUGCAGAGCAGUUUGUAAGAUGAACAUUUUUUUUUAAUGUGCAUUAUUAAAAGUCUUUUGAGGGAAAAAAACAAAUGUUCCUUUACUUCUAAUUUUUUUUAAACUAUUUUCUUCUAAAAGAUUAGUAUUCGUUACCUGAAGCUGCUGUAACAAAUUACCACUAAGUUGGAUGGCCUAAAACAAGAAAAAUGUAUUCUCUCACAGUUCUGGAAGCAAGGAGUCUGAAAUCAGGGCCUGGGAGGGCCAGACUCUGGAGAUUCUAGGAGCGGAUCCUUCUUUGCCUCUUCCUGGUGGGUUGCAGUCCCUGGCCUUCCAUGGCUUACAGGAUCAUCAGUCCCCUCUCUGCUUCUGUCGGCACAUGGUGUUCUCCUGGCGUGUCUCUGUCUCUUCUCUUCUUCAUAUAAGGACAUGAGUCAUUUGGUUUCAGGGCCCACUCCACUCUGGUGGACCUCAAUUUUACUGCAUCUGCAAAAACUUCUUUUCAAAAAGUCAUAUUCGUAAGUACCCAGAGGUUAGGACUGGAACUCAAAUACCUUUCUGGGGUACACAAUUUAAGCCACAACAGUAUUCAAGUUUUAUUUUCCAAAUUUAAGUCUUUAAUCUAUCUUGAAUUAAUUUUGGGGUCAAUUUGAGGUGUGGAUUUAAGAUAAUUUUUUAUAUGGGCAAUCUGGGUGGCUCAGCAGUUUAGCGCCACCUUCAGCCCAGGGUGUGAUCCUGGAGAACCGGGAUCGAGUCCCACGUCGGGCUCCCUGCACGGAGCCUGCUUCUCCCUCUGCCUGUGUCUCUGCCUCUCUCUCUCUGUCUCUCAUGAAUAAAUAAAUAAAAAACCUUUAAAAAAAUAAGAUA